ACGGAGGUUGCAAGUGUUAUCCGGAAUCACUGGGCGUAAAGCGUCUGUAGGUGGUCAAAUAAGUCAACUGUUAAAUCUUGAGGCUCAACCUCAAAAUCGCAGUCGAAACUAUUAGACUAGAGUAUAGUAGGGGUAAAGGGAAUUUCCAGUGGAGCGGUGAAAUGCGUAGAGAUUGGAAAGAACACCGAUGGCGAAGGCACUUUACUGGGCUAUUACUAACACUCAGAGACGAA
rnacentral:rRNA from 1 species